rnacentral:rRNA from 1 species
UAGGGAAUCUUCCACAAUGGACGCAAGUCUGAUGGAGCAACGCCGCGUGAGUGAAGAAGGUUUUCGGACCGUAAAGCUCUGUUGUUGGUGAAGAAGGAUAGAGGUAGUAACUGGCCUUUAUUUGACGGUAAUCAACCAGAAAGUCACGGCUAACUACGUGCCAGCAGCCGCGGUAAUACGUAGGUGGCAAGCGUUGUCCGGAUUUAUUGGGCGUAAAGCGAGCGCAGGCGGAAGAAUAAGUCUGAUGUGAAAGCCCUCGGCUUAACCGAGGAAUUGCAUCGGAAACUGUUUUCUUGAGUGCAGAAGAGGAGAGUAGAACUCCAUGUGUAGCGGUGGAAUGCGUAGAUAUAUGGAAGAAUACCAGUGGCGAAGGCGGCCCUCUGGUCUGCAACUGACGCUGAGGCUCGAAAGCAUGGGUAGCGAACAGGAUUAGAUACCCUGGUAGUCCAUGCCGUAAACGAUGAGUGCUAAGUGUUGGGAGGCUUCCGCCUCUCAGUGCUGCAGCUAACGCAUUAAGCACUCCGCCUGGGGGAGUACGACCGCAAGGUUGAA